rnacentral:rRNA from 1 species
AGUCACUGACAUUAGACUACCCCUGUAGUCCCAGCCGUAAACUAUGCGCGUUAGGUGUACUGGCGACCACGAGUCACCGGGUGACCGAAGGGAAACCGCGAAACGUGCCGCCUGGGAAGUACGGUCGCAAGGCUGAAACUUAAAGGAAUUGGCGGGGAGCACCACAACGGGUGGAGCCUGCGGUUUAAUUGGACUCAACGCCGGAAAUCUCACCGGAUAGGACAGACAUAUGAUAGUCGGGCUGAAGACUCUACUUGAUGAUCUG